ACUUGGAGAUCCCUCCUUCUGGAGUAUUCAGGGAGCCCUGAUCCUUGGGGCAGUUUCCACUUCGGCUGUAUCAGGACUGAAACUGAGAUUCAGUCUCUCUAUCACUGAGUUUUAGAGCCCAAUCAGCAAAACUGGAGCAAGCUCCAAUGUUCGUUAAUUUUCCUUGAGGUUGUUGAAAUCCAGUCUUGGCUGUACCAGGCUCAGAGAGAGAUUGCUGAUUCAAAGCUUGGAUGUAAGCCUGCACCCGAUCAGCCCAAAUGGCUGGGAAUCAUCUGCGCCUUGACUUAAAUGAGACUUCUGUCAGACAACCGGGCAACCACUUUAGCAGUGCAGCUGUGACUCUGCGAUGCUAAGUGAUGUUCACAAUUGGCAGCUCUGGCCUAGAGCCCAUGGCAUGGGAGGGACUUUGUCCAACGUGAAAUGAGUCUUUGGUGGAAGGCAGGAAACUUCAAGAAGUUAAUUCCUCACCUCAGCAACAGCUUCAUCUCUUAGGUUUCUUCACAGCCUAUGAGAAAAACACCCUGUGAGUGUCAACACCCGACUGUCUUGAAAAUCAGAACAGCCAAAGUUCUGCUGCUGUCUUCUCACUUUGACAUGCACGUCAGUAUGUUCAGAAGUGAGAUACCACAUCAGUGAUUUAUUUCAAAUAAAGCAACAGCAGACAAAACUCCAAAGCAAUUUUCAGCCUGAGUAAUCACUGCAAAUUUGCUCCAAAUGUUGAACAGAUGGAAUCUGUAUAUGACUUCUCUGAGUAUAAACACAGGCACCCUGUCAUAUUUCAAUUGCUGAUGUAACAACACAAUGUGGCUCUUUCUAAAGGGAAAGUGCAUGAAUUUGGGGGUCUGAUUAUUUGUUUUCUUGGUGCAGAGAAAGAUCUGGUGUGUUCACUUGCAAAUAACACAUGACGAUUGCCAAUUGAUUUCACUCCAUUCAAAUAUUUGCUCAGCGAAAUGGUAAUAGGAAUUCUCUACAAAAGGUGUAUCCUUGAUAUCAAAACUUAAUUUAUGCUUAAUUUGGCUCUGCUGUUGCCACAUCUGAUUGCUUCCUGUAUGCAGAAGGGCAUGAAAACCUGCUGUGGAAGUGGCAGGGGUGAAUGUGUGUCUGUUCUUAGUUCUCACCUCCCCCAUGGCUGAGCAGGAAGGUGGUCCUGAAGCUGGGCUCUCCUCCUGUCUCCUCGCUUGCUUUGUUGACCUUAGAAAAGCCAGUUACUAAUUUGUGCACAAGCUGCGAAUAGGUGGUUACCUUCCUUCCAUAAAAUGUUUUGUGAUUUGGAGAUGAAAAACACCGGUUGAUAUUUAUACUGUUAUGGCUUUAGUUAGAAAUUUCAAAUGAGGAGAGUGAGGCUCUGUUCUUUCUCAGCCACCCGUGUUCAUGAGUUCAGAUAAACACUGCUGUAGCAAAAGGAGGAGGAGACGUAAGACCUUCCUGCUGCUUGAAGGAACAACCAGAGGCCAUGCAGGCUUCCGUUUGGUAGCAGAUGGAAGGUGCUUUACAGAAGAAAGAACAAGGAAGGGCAUGGCCCUGUGGACCUGACCUCACUCAGGAUGUGACGCUGUAGACGAUGCUGAAAGAGAGCCUGACCACUUGGAAGAUCAUGAGAUUUGUGUGAUCUUCUAUAAGCUAUCUGCUCAUUCAUCCACAUGAGACAUAGGUAAAAAGGUCAUGCUGCAUUUGAUUGUGUCACUCUCCCAAACUCACAGUAUAGAUUUCUAAACCAUGUAAGUUGCUCUGCUUAUGUUUUGUCAUCUGAACAGUAUUUAGCACCAUUGGCACUUUUAAACUUUCAGCAUAUUUUAAACUGCUGCAAAUUUUGAAGCCUUUUUCUCUUUCAUGUAAGUUUCACUGUUUGAAUCCUUGGGAAAAAAAAAAUAGAAUAUUCUUGUGCUUACACUUCUGAGGAUGAAGCUGUGCCAGUGUGCCUUCACAGAUCCUCAAAAUGGUAAUUACAGAAAUGGAAGUUGCAUGUAUGCACAGGAACCUGGGGAGCUGCAGUGCUUCGAUCUGCAAAUAGAUGCAAAGGCAUGUAGGAAAUCUGGGCCAUAGCAAGUGCUUUUCCAUCUUUUCUCAUUUUUAUUGCUUUUUUCGGUAUUACUUCUUGUCACAUAUGGCUUUUCGGAAGAAAACCCCUAUUUAGUCUCACUGGCAUCUACUUUUCACAAGUUUGUAUGACAGUCUUGGUUGUGGAAGGAGAAGAGGGGCUGUAGUGGGGAGAGCAGAACCAGAAGGCUGCUGGAUAAGUGAACGCCAGCUUAGACAUGGUGAGAAUCUCUUCUGAAUUCUAAUUAUACAUAAAAUUAAU
ensembl:lncRNA